AACGGUCUAUACCUGCGGUACCUGCGGAAGGAUCAUUAACGAGUGUAACUUACCCUUUUUUUUAAAAGAGGGUAGUACCUCCUGUCCUUUGUAGGCCCCUUUUUAUUGGGGGGCUUUUUAAGACUUUCUGCUUCGGCGGGGUUAUUCCCGCCGGAACACCCUCAAAAAACUCUUCAAAAACUAAUUCAGUCCGAGAAUUUUUGAAAAUAAAAAAAACUUUCAACAAUGGAUCUCUAGAUC
rnacentral:misc_RNA from 1 species